rnacentral:rRNA from 1 species
CCUACGGGAGGCAGCAGUGGGGAAUAUUGCACAAUGGGGGAAACCCUGAUGCAGCGACGCCGCGUGAGCGAGUAAGUAUUUCGGUAUGUAAAGCUCUAUCAGCAGGGACGAAAAAAGACGGUACCUGACUAAGAAGCCCCGGCUAACUACGUGCCAGCAGCCGCGGUCAUACGUAGGGGGCAAGCGUUAUCCGGAGUUACUGGGUGUAAAGGGAGCGUAGACGGCAAGGCAAGCGAGAUGUGAAAGGGCAGGGGUCAACCCUGUACAUGCUUUUGGAACGGUGGUGCUAGAGUGCAGGAGGGGUAAGUGGAAUUCCUAGUGUAGCGGUGAAAUGCGUAGAUAUUAGGAGGAACCCCAGUGGCGAAGGCGGCUUACUGGACUGUAACUGACGUUGAGGCUCGAAAGCGUGGGGAGCAAACAGGAUUAGAUACCCUUGUAGUC